rnacentral:lncRNA from 1 species
UUUCUUGACCAUAUCUUUCGUACAAAAAUUCUAGACGAACCUAUCCAUUCUCUAGGCAGCCUCCUAUGUUUUUCUUUUUUAUGUGCAAUAGCUCGAAAAAUCUUUUGGAAGUGACAUGCUUCGGUAUCAUGGGUUCUCCUCGGUGAAGGUUCUUUCCCUUUCCAAUAAACGCCCCUAUUUCCUCCAGUGUGGGAGUAAGCUCAAAGUCGGAGAAUCGAAUACGUUGUUUGAAGGAUCCCAAA